rnacentral:rRNA from 1 species
AGUCGAACGGAGCACCCUUGAUUGAGGUUUCGGCCAAAUGAUAGGAAUGCUUAGUGGCGGACUGGUGAGUAACGCGUGAGGAACCUGCCUUUCAGAGGGGGACAACAGUUGGAAACGACUGCUAAUACCGCAUGACGCAUUUUGAUCGCAUGGUCGAAAUGCCAAAGAUUUAUCGCUGAAAGAUGGCCUCGCGUCUGAUUAGCUAGUUGGUGAGGUAACGGCCAACCAAGGCGACGAUCAGUAGCCGGACUGAGAGGUUGACCGGCCACAUUGGGACUGAGAUACGGCCCAGACUCCUACGGGAGGCAGCAGUGGGGAAUAUUGGGCAAUGGGCGCAAGCCUGACCCAGCAACGCCGCGUGAAGGAAGAAGGCUUUCGGGUUGUAAACUUCUUUUAAGUGGGAAGAGCAGAAGACGGUACCACUUGAAUAAGCCACGGCUAACUACGUGCCAGCAGCCGCGGUAAUACGUAGGUGGCAAGCGUUGUCCGGAUUUACUGGGUGUAAAGGGCGUGCAGCCGGGCAUGCAAGUCAGAUGUGAAAUCUCAGGGCUUAACCCUGAAACUGCAUUUGAAACUGUAUGUCUUGAGUGCCGGAGAGGUAAUCGGAAUUCCUUGUGUAGCGGUGAAAUGCGUAGAUAUAAGGAAGAACACCAGUGGCGAAGGCGGAUUACUGGACGGUAACUGACGGUGAGGCGCGAAAGCGUGGGGAGCGAACAGGAUUAGAUACCCUGGUAGUCCACGCUGUAAACGAUGGAUACUAGGUGUGCGGGGACUGACCCCCUGCGUGCCGCAGUUAACACAAUAAGUAUCCC